rnacentral:lncRNA from 1 species
GCGACUGAUAUGUAGCGGCUGUUCUUUGGAACCGUCGCCGCUAUCAUGUUUUCCAGAUACUUUGUGGCUGUUAUCCUAAACCGUCGUGACUUUUUCUACUUUUCGCGCACCCNNNNNNNNNNNNUUCGUUCUUCACAUAUUUUUUCUCAAACCUUCGUUCUUCGCAGAUUUGUUCAAUCACUCACAGAUUUUCAUCGAUUCCUUCUUGUUCGAUCAAACUCAAGCUCGAACUCGAAUACUUUCAAUCGGUUUCAAACCUUCUCCUCAAAUUCGUUCAACUUUAGCUUCAAUCUUCAUAAUUCAGGUUCAUUAGGUUAAAUUUGGUAAUUAGGUUCACUUAAUUUAGUAUGAUUUUGAAAUUUGGUAAUUAGGGUUUUGACAUUUCAUUGUUA